GCUCGAAUUACUUUGACCCUAGGGCGAUUCCGUUCCGUCUCGACCCACAAUACUGCCCGGGGCCCCUCCCCCGACCAGCCGUCCCGCCGAAGUACUGCUCUGUGGGCAUACUGGAGCAGGAGCCUUUUCUGCGAUACAGGUUACACGGCAUCUCACAGCUAACUUUCAAUUCAGCACAGUUCAGUGCACAAAGAGCAUUUUCUCUUCCAUUUCCUAAUGAGAUCUUCCAACACCCUCGGCACCGCUGUCAAAACAUGAUCUUUCUCACUCUCUGAUGAAAGCUGAUUCGAGGAGAAAAAGCCAGUAUCAGCUGGACAGAUGCAUGCAGCGAAGCCAAGAAUAGUCUGAGAGGAUUAGCAGAGCAGCACAAAGGAGCCAAGAAAUGUUUAGAAAAACAUAAUAGUAACGGUUCUCAUACCUGGCCUCACCAGUUUGAGACUCCAUCUGGUUAACCCAAGACUUGUAAAUAUCCACAGGAUCAGUUUUGAUAUUGAGUGAUUUGUCAUCAAUGAUUUCCUUCACAACCGGUGCCAGGAUCUGCCUCAAGGCAUUCUGACCACGGGCACCACGGUUGAAACUCACCACCAUUUUAAUAACGGUAGGAUUCCCAGUCACAAUCUCAUGUAUUUGAUCUACUUUUGAUCUGCAGAAGAAAGAAUCUGAAUGAAAUAUGAAGUACACAUAAUUCUAUCUGUUAUACAUAGACUUCUCAGCAUAAAGGAAAGCGUUACAGUGUUACCAUCAGGAAACAUGCAUUUGUACUAAAAUCUUUAUACAGCAAUAAUCUGCAACACUGUAUAAGAGUAAUAUUGGAAUAUUUUUCAAAAUAGAUGAGAUAAGGAACUUAUGCCUUUUGCUUGGGAAUUGCAACACAGUCUGCCAGUAGCCAGCCUGAUGUCAAUUAAUUAUAAUCCAAUUGUACACUCCAUUUGACAAUGUGAUUCAAAAACACGAAGGUAACAGAGAGUGGUUGAUGUAGAGAGAAGAAAAAGAACUGUACGUUUCUUCCAGUACUCAAAAUAAGUAAGCUACACCAACAAAAGCCAUUCCUAGUAUUCCACCCCAGGGAAUAUAGCAGCAGAGGAAAAAGCAUCUGCAUUUCCCCAGACCAUUCCGAACAUGAAGAAAAGAAAAAAAAAAAAAAAAGAAAAAAACACCCUCUUUCAGCAGUUGUUGCUUGCUUCGGGGCAUACACUAUCUUCAUGGUUAAAACACAUUCUAAAGAAAUGUUAGAAGAAUAGUCCUCCCAAAUUUUACUACACAUUGUUCUUCAGCAAGUUGUGCAACUCCGCAUUAUAAAGAACUGCAGUCAUGUAACAUCAAGUUCCUAAGGCUCAACUGACCAAACAAAAUGCACCUAAGGAUAGCCAGGUUUCCUAAGACUGACAUUCAAUAAGAUGACCAAAUAAUACAGCUUCUUGGUUUCAGUAUCCUCAUCAUUAGUUUUUGGAAAUCUAGUUAAAAAAACAAAAACAAAGACACGCUUACUGUCAGCUUUCUCCCUGGCUGGCAAAGCUUGAGUUGCUCUAGACAAAAGAGCAGUUUAUUAGAGGUUUUUAUAAUCAAACAUUAGAGAAUUGAGGUUAGACUGAAUUUUAGGAUGACUUUGCAUUAUAUCAAAGGAAAUUGCCUUAUUGUGUAGCAAAGUCUUGACUGCAGUGAAGAGCCAUCAUCCUUAAUGGACAGACUCAACUCCUCCCUUCUAGAUUGCAUUAAGAACAGAUAUGAAAUGGAAAGAGCAGAAAGAAUGGUCAGUUCAGUAUUACCUGCAUACUAGCAUGAGACACCAUGGGAAAUCUGCCUUAGUUCUAGAAAUUCCCAGAACUGAUUCAACAACAAGGCUAUACUAUAUGCUACCACAUACUUGAUCUCUUCCUGCAAUGCUGUUUGGAAAAGCCUCAACAACAGGUAUUCCUCUCUCUGGUUGGAUGCAUAGUUAUACAGUGUGAAGAUCACAGAAUCCAUGAACUUUGUGGAUUUGUUCUGAGGCAUCUGAAAAAUCAGCUUGGCCAAGUAGGUGGGAUUAGUCUGCAACAAGAAGGAAAAUUCAGUGUGCAUUCCCCCACUAUCACUGGGAACUAAGAUGGCUCAAAAAUAUAACACAUAAGCAAGGACUAGGCCAAAACAUAUAAGCCUCUAAGACAAUAGGUCACUGAAUGCUUUAAGAGCAGCAUUAAAAGCUGUGUACCUGAAGUAAGUAAAACAGAUGUUGAUAGGCUUCCAGCUUUUCUCUCUUCUCCUUGCUCAAAGCUUUCAGACCUCCCCUUUGUUUAUUCAGCAUCAUCAUGUCAGAGAGCUGUUCCUUGUUCUUCUUGGUAAGCUUUUUGCUAUGAGAAACAACAUCCUAGAACGAAAGAAUACAGGAUAGCUUUCACUCUAAAUAUUUAGUAGCAUGCAGUACUGGAGAACAGUUGCAUCUGAGAGCCCGCUUUUCUUGCACAUGGAAAGGCAGAGUCAAGGUAUGCAUGAUGCCUUUAAAGUGGAGCAUGAUAUGUUAGGUCAGUGAUUUCUUUGUACUUUAUGUCUGACUUCCUGAAUUUGUCAUGUGCUCCUAGAAGGGUUAGCCACUCUUGACAGUAAUUAGUAUCAGAGCUGACAGCAUCCUGAAGAUGUCUGAAAAUGUUUUCUUUUAAAUUGGGCUUGAACCCUCAAAAUCCUGUCCUACAUUCCGCUACCUCACUAUCUCUACAUACUCUGUGAACAAUAGUUCUUUUCACUGCAGACACCUACCCAAAAGGUGCAGCCUCUAUCACAAAUGAAAUUUUACUAAACUAAUCCAGAUCUUACAUGGAGACCAGAUUCAUGUCAUGCCGCCCAGGACCAAAUCAAAAGCUGACUAGAACUUCAGCUUGAAUAAAGACACUGCUGUAUCUGCAAGA